rnacentral:rRNA from 1 species
AGUGAACGCUGGCGGUAGGCCUAACACAUGCAAGUCGAACGGCAGCACAGUAAGAGCUUGCUCUUACGGGUGGCGAGUGGCGGACGGGUGAGGAAUACAUCGGAAUCUACUUUUUCGUGGGGGAUAACGUAGGGAAACUUACGCUAAUACCGCAUACGACCUACGGGUGAAAGCAGGGGAUCUUCGGACCUUGCGCGAUUGAAUGAGCCGAUGUCGGAUUAGCUAGUUGGCGGGGUAAAGGCCCACCAAGGCGACGAUCCGUAGCUGGUCUGAGAGGAUGAACAGGCCCAAUGGAACAGAGACACGGUCCAGACUCCUAAGGGAGGCAGCAGUGGGGAAUAUUGGACAAUGGGCGGAAGCCUGAUCCAGCCAUACCGCGGGGGUGAAGAAGGCCUUCGGGUUGGAAAGCCCUUUUGUUGGGAAAGAAAAGCAGCAGGUUAAUACCCCGCUGUUCUGACGGUACCCAAAGAAUAAGCACCGGCUAACUUCGUG